rnacentral:rRNA from 1 species
AUACGGGGGGGGCGAGCGUUGUCCGGAAUUAUUGGGCGUAAAGGGCGCGUAGGCGGAAUGAUAAGUCAGAGGUGAAAACUCAGGGCUCAACCCUGAGCCUGCCUUUGAUACUGUCAUUCUUGAGUGCGAGAGAGGAAAGCGGAAUUCCCGGUGUAGCGGUGAAAUGCGUAGAUAUCGGGAAGAACACCGGUAGCGAAGGCGGCUUUCUGGCUCGCAACUGACGCUGAGGCGCGAAAGCGUGGGGAGCAAACAGGAUUAGAAACCCCGGUAGUCC